CUUUACAUGGUGGGCCUGACCUCCUGAAAGAGUCGUAAGCGGAUGGAUAUAGUUCUUCAGCAGUCCACGGACUACCUGCAUUUUAUACACCCUCAGUAAAAAUAUCUCUAAAAAACAACCCCGGCCAGAGAUAAAAGACUCACGUCUUUUUUACUGUGGUUCUCUUCUCAUGAGAGAUGAAGACUCCUGGCAUCUUUCUCAUGUGUGCUUUCACCACCACAAUCCUCAUUUCAAUGGCGUUUCUCACUCCAUUCAUCCAAGCUUCUGGACCCACAGGUAUAGAAGGUGGACAAAUGGUAGCAAACUCACAGGUGGAAGAGAAGAUGGUCAGCGGCAUUUACCACCGUCUGUUUAACAGAUUUUACAGCAAAAACUUAUCUCAUCCGUCAACCUCAGCAAGGCAAGUUCCCACCGGCCCUGACCCUCUUCACCACCACCGCUUCCCUUUCCAUUACUUUCCUUGACAUGCACACAUACAAACCCAAAUACAUGCAUACACCACAUACACAUACAUACAUGCCUGGAAUGCGUCUUGUGAGAUGGGUUUUUUCAACAUCAUUGUAUAAGUGGGCCUUUUGAUGGUGAAACAUGAAAAUAUAUUUAUGGGCCUUUUUUUUCCAUGUUAUAGAGAUCACAGACUUUUUUCUUUUUCUUUUUUGGGUUGAUUAUUAUUGGAUAUUUGGAUAUGUAUUUUAAGCAUGCAUGGUACAUGUCGACCAUGAUUUACAAAUAAUGGUUAAAAUGUGGUGAUAUGAUGCA